UUUUUGUUUUGUUUUUUUUUUGAGACAGAGUCUCACUCUGUCACCCAGGCUAUAGUGUAGUUCAGUGGUGCGAUCUCAGCUAACCACAACCUCUGCCUCUCAGAUUCAAGCAAUUCUCUGCCUCAGCCACCCAAGUAGCUGGGAUUACAGAUGCCCACCACCCCACCACCACAUGCAGCUAAUUUUUGUAUUUUUAGUAAAGGCAGGGUCUCACCAUCUUGGCCAGGCUGGUUUUGAACUCCUGACCUCAUGAUCCACCUGCCUCAGCCUCCCAAAGAGCUGGGAUUACAGGCAUGAGCCACCAUGCCUGGCCUGAUGAUAGUUUCUUUUGCUGUGCAGAAGUUCUUUAGUUUAAUUAGGUCCCUUUUGUCAAUUUUUGCUUUCGUUGAAAUUGCUUUUGGCAUUUUCAUCAUACAAUUUUUGCACUUGCCUAUGUCCUGAAUGGUAUUGCCUAGAGUCUCUUCUAGGGCCUUUAUAGCUUUGGAUUUUACAUUUAUGCCUUUAAUCCAUCUUGAGUUAAUUUUUCUAUAAGGUGUAAGGAAGGGGUCCAGUUUUAAUUUUCCACAUAUAGCUAGGCAGUUCUCCUAGCACCAUUUAUUAAAGAGGGAAUCUUUUCUCCAUUGCUUGUUUUUGCCAGGUUUGUUGAAGAUCAGGUGGUUGUAGGUGUGUGGUCUUAUUUCUGAGUUCUCUGUUUUUGUCCAUUGCGCUAUGUGUCUGUUUGUGUACCAGUACCAUGCUCUUUUGGCUACUGUAGCCUUGUAGUAUAGUUUGAAGGCAGGUACCAUUAUGUCUCCAGUUGUGUUCUUUUUGCUUAGCAAAAAUUUUAAAAUAGUUUUUUUUUCUAAUCCUGUGAAGGAUGUCAAUGGUAGUUUAACUGAAAUAGCAUAGAAUCUAUAAAUAACUUUGAGCAGUAUGAUCGUUUUCACAAGAUUGAUUCUUCCUAUCCAUGAGAAUCGAAUGUUUUUUUCAUUUCUUUGUGUCCUCUCUAACUUCCUUGAGCAGUAGUUUGUAAAUCCCCUUGAAGACAUUCUUCACUUCCUUUUUUAGUUGUAUUCCUAGGUAUUUUAUUCUCUUUGUAGCAAUUGCAAAUGGAAGUUCAUUCAUGAUUUGACUCUCUGUCCAUGUUGGUG
rnacentral:lncRNA from 1 species